GUUUAAUUAAGCUCCGUUCCUUUGAAGCUCUCUGUUGCGCUGAACCUUUCCGUUGGUUGAAUUCGACCCUUACCAGAGGCUUGAAGAUUGAUCUCCGCACCAUCUUGAAUCUGCGAAGUGACACACCAAGCGAAACUGAGAUAAAUUAAGAUGCAGAAAACACUUACUCUUUGGUGGAAGCAUAAACAGAGACAAGUGGAUACGAAGGUGUGGCAGUGAUAGAACCCGACACUAUAUUCACGAUGGCACCUCUCUUCCUUUAAAUCAUCCCAAGAAGAACAGCCUUGAUCACCCUAUUAAUGGCUUCCGCAUUUACCUGAAUCACAUCGUUAAGCAUUCUUCAUCCACUUCAUAGAAAAAUCUCGCGUAAGGGUAAGCAACCCUUGCGCAGUUCACCAGAACCCCAACAUCCAACCCUUCGAUGGCUCUCCCGAUCCGUUCAAUACCCUUCGACAGGUCACUGGCCAAGUCAAAGAUAACAUUCCUGAUUUGGGUUCCUCCGUAUCAAGCCUUAAUGGCAGCCGAAACCUAUUUAAGCUUCCCGGAGAAGUCGAUUAUCGCUCGCCAAAGCACAAAUUUGCUGCCGAAUUGUAGGUCUCGGUAGUUCCGAUCUUAGAUGUUCUCUCUUUCCCGACGACCGGCAGAAGCUCUUCUGUUUUUCCCCUUCGGAAGAGAUGUCGGCUGGAGAAGACAGGCUUUGCACUUCUGGUAUAAGGUGUUAGAGAUGAGGGUAAAUUUGUCUUUUUACUUGUAUAUUUAACUCCGAAAUUGACUAAUGGUACGACAGUUAGAAUCUUGAAAAUUCAGGGGAGGGUGUUGUUGUACUGUUAUGUUUCAAACCAUAGGAAGGGAAGUGGUAAAGUACGGGGGAGGCAGGGGAGGGUAAUUUACUCUUUAAUUUUUUGUUUCAGCUCAAGGGCAGGGAUGUAAACGGAUUAGAUAUAGAUCGAAUGUGUUCGGAUCUGAAUAUUUGUUGAACGGAUUCGGAGACUCCUAAACGAAUAUGGAUGUGGAUUAAAUUCGGGUAUUCAACUAUUCAUUUACUCUCAACUUGUGUAAUCCAAAGAUUCUUCCUCUAAUGAAUAUAAUUUGUUUUUAAUUCA